CUUUUUAUCUUUGGAGUAGUUCCUCCCACAUGAAAUAAAGUGGCCUGGUAUUCCCUUGAGGUUUAAACUAAUCUACAUGGCCUAAGGCAUGCUUAGCUGCCCUGCUGUGUCCCACUUACUACUCAUUUGCCAAACGGUUCUCCAAGUCUAGAGCUGGAAAGGGAUGUUCUUGGAGGAAAGGCCGAUGGUCCAGUGGAGAUAGUUUCAGCAAUGACAGCAAUCUUUGAGCAUGAAGGAAUUAGGAAGACAUGACAGCUUUAGGUGUCAUUUAAGAGAGUCAGGAGCUGGUAGACCAGCACUUUCAAGUUGUGGGAUUAGACACCGUCAGUGGGAAUAUGAAAUCAAUGUUGUUAUUCACAACCAGCAUUCUUAAAAAGUAAAAUAACAAGUAAAACAAGGUCACUGGAAAAGGCUCUUUCAGAUGCAAAUGAUUCCAUGGGCUAGUUAUUGCUGAGGAACACAGGAGAGCAACCACAGUCCAGUGUGGCAAGUGAUUUAGACUGGGAGGCAGGACAUCUGAGAGCUAAGUGUGGGUCCGCUCUUGACUAGAGAAGAAGUGUGUUUAUUCUGCAGCUUGCAGGCCAGCCAGGCAGGUGUGUGUCAUCAGAGCCAGGUUUGUACAGUCAAAGCUGCUGGAUUAAAGACCUUAACUUCAGAAAACUCAGCUAAAAGAAUUUGACAUUAUAUCUAUAGUCCAAUUUAUUUCAGAAAAGAAGUCUGAAAAAUAUGGGGGGAUGGCAUUCCUACCAGAUAGAAGAGACUGAGGAGAAGGUGGAUCUCCAGGCCCUGAGACAAAGAGUCCAGGCCCAACAACCUUUUAGAAAGAACUGCCCUACAAACAGCUGGGGACAUCCCACCAUGGGGGAAGGAUGGUGGGUAAUGUUUCCGAUAAUGCAGAGUCUCUCUAGGACAGCUUCGCCAUACCAAGACCAGAAAUGC